rnacentral:rRNA from 1 species
AUUGAACGCUGGCGGCAGGCCUAACACAUGCAAGUCGAACGGUAACAGGAAACAGCUUGCUGUUUCGCUGACGAGUGGCGGACGGGUGAGUAAUGUCUGGGAAACUGCCUGAUGGAGGGGGAUAACUACUGGAAACGGUAGCUAAUACCGCAUAACGUCGCAAGACCAAAGAGGGGGACCUUCGGGCCUCUUGCCAACGGAUGUGCCCAGAUGGGAUUAGCUAGUAGGUGGGGUAACGGCUCACCUAGGCGACGAUCCCUAGCUGGUCUGAGAGGAUGACCAGCCACACUGGAACUGAGACACGGUCCAGACUCCUACGGGAGGCAGCAGUGGGGAAUAUUGCACAAUGGGCGCAAGCCUGAUGCAGCCAUGCCGCGUGUAUGAAGAAGGCCUUCGGGUUGUAAAGUACUUUCAGCGGGGAGGAAGGGAGUAAAGUCAAUACCUUUGCUCAUUGACGUUACCCGCAGAAGAAGCACCGGCUAACUCCGUGCCAGCCGCCAGCGUAA